rnacentral:rRNA from 1 species
CAAUAGCGUAUACUAAUGUUGUUGCAGUUAAAAAGCUCGUAGUUGAACUUCUGGUAGGAGUGUCCCGGCCUUUUUGUUUUUACAAAUUGUAUGCUGUGUGACAUAUCUGGCCAUCCUUCUUCUUUGUUUAAAGAAGAUCUUUCACUGUAAAAAAAUUAGGGUGUUCAAAGCAAAAGUUUCUUUGGAAUAUAUUAGUAUGGGAUGAUAAGAUAGGCUCUAGAUGCUAUUUUGUUGGUUUGCACAUUUAGAGAAUGAUUAACAGGGACAGUUGGGGGUAUUCGUAUUUACAUGUCAGAGGUGAAAUUCUUGGAUUUUGGAAAGACGAACUACUGCGAAAGCAUUUACCAAGGAUGUUUUCAUUAA